rnacentral:rRNA from 1 species
AGCGAACGCUGGCGGCAGGCUUAACACAUGCAAGUCGAGCGGGCAUCCUUGUGGUGUCAGCGGCAGACGGGUGAGUAACGCGUGGGAACGUGCCCUUCGGUUCGGAAUAACUCAGGGAAACUUUAGCUAAUACCGGAUACGUGCGAGAGCAGAAAGGUUUAUCUGCCGAAGGAUCGGCCCGCGUCUGAUUGGCUAGGUGGUGAGGUUACGGCUCACCAAGGCGACGAUCAGUAGCUGGUCUGAGAGGAUGAUCAGCCACACUGGGACUGAGACACGGCCCAGACUCCUACGGGAGGCAGCAGUGGGGAAUAUUGGACAAUGGGGGCAACCCUGAUCCAGCCAUGCCGCGUGAGUGAUGACGGCCUUAGGGUUGUAAAGCUCUUUUCUCCGGGACGAUAAUGACGGUACCGGAGGAAUAAGCCCCGGCUAACUUCGUG